rnacentral:tRNA from 2 species
GCCUGUGUUGCAUAGCUGGUAGUGCGGCGGAUUUGUAAUCCGCAGGCCGGGGGUUCGAGUCCCCCCGCAGGCU